rnacentral:rRNA from 1 species
GACGAACGCUGGCGGCGUGCCUAAUACAUGCAAGUAGGACGAAGUUGCGAACGGGUGAGUAACGCGUAGGUAAAUGCCUAUUAGCGGGGGAUAACUAUUGGAAACGCUAGCUAAUACCGCAUACUAGUAGAUGGACAUGCGUUGUAUUAGCUAGUAGGUAGGGUAAUGGCCUACCUAGGAAACGAUACAUAGCCUACCUGGCAGGGUGAUCGGCCACACUGGGACUGAGACACGGCCCAGACUCCUACGGGAGGCAGCAGUAGUGAAUCUUCGGCAAUGGGGGGAACCCUGACCGAGCAACGCCGCGUGAGUGAAGAAGGUUUUCGGAUCGUAAAGCUCUGUUGUUAAGGAAGCGGUACUUAACCAGAAAGGGACGGCUAACUACGUGCCAGCAGCCGCGGUAAUUC